rnacentral:rRNA from 1 species
GGACUACUGGGGUAUCUAAUCCUGUUUGCUCCCCACGCUUUCGAGUCUUAGUGUCAGAAACCGUCCAGAUAGCCGCCUUCGCCACUGGUGUUCUUCCCAAUCUCUACGUAUUUCACCACUACACUGGGAAUUCCACUAUCCUCUCCGGUCCUCUAGUCGCCUAGUAUCAAGUGCAUUUCUUGAGUUGAGCUCAAGGCUUUCACACCUGACUGUGACAACCACCUACACUCGCUUUACGCCCAGUAAUUCCGAACAACGCUAGCCCCCUUCGUCUUACCGCGGCUGCUGGCAC